CUGCCAGUGCUGCAGUAGCCUGUUGUAGUGGUUGGCGCGGUCGUGUCGCUUGAUAUGUAAAUAUAGGUCGAACAAGAUGUAUGUAACUACGUAAGUACGCACCCUGCCAGUGCUGCAGUAGCCUGUUGUAGUGGUUGGCGCGGUCGUGUCGCUUGAUAUGUAAAUAUAGGUCGAACAAGAUGUAUGUAACUACGUAAGUACGCACCCUGCCAGUGCUGCAGUAGCCUGUUGUAGUGGUUGGCGCGGUCGUGUCGCUUGAUAUGUAAAUAUAGGUCGAACAAGAUGUAUGUAACUACGUAAGUACGCACCCUGCCAGUGCUGCAGUAGCCUGUUGUAGUGGUUGGCGCGGUCGUGUCGCUUGAGCUGCGUGAACACGUGCACCAGUCCGCGGUAGUCGUACUCCAGCCCCGAG